AUGAUUCUCAGACAGAGUUGUAUACCGAGCAGCCAGACACGUACACCUAGCAGUUGGAUCGAGCAGACGGGCCUUGAUUCGAAUGAUUGGCUGGCAGUGCCGACCCAAAGAAGAAGGGAUGGGGAGAAAGUUUCAAUUUUAGGGAGGACGAAUUGUUGUAUGAUGUUUGGUUGGCCACGGGUAUUGAUCCGUUUCAAGGCAUGGAGCAAAGAUGCCCAACCCUUUGGUCCAAUGUUCAUACUUGGUUCCAUGAGCACUAGAACUCCGAUACCUACCGCACAGAAGCGAUCUGAGAUCAUACGCCAAAUUGCUCACCUAUCGAUGGUACACCAUCCAAGAGCUGUGAGCAAGUAUUGUGGUCAUCUCAAUAUACUCAAAAACCGGUGGCCAAGUGCCCUUCCAUGCGGUCACAUUGUGCUUGAAGGUGGAAAGAAACUUCAUCCUCAUGCAUUGUUGGUUAAAGUUGAAUGGGCAACCAAAGUGACUCAUAUCCAUUGCCCAUAG
rnacentral:rRNA from 1 species